rnacentral:piRNA from 1 species
UCCUAGCUGGAGAAUUCUUCCUUUCACAGU